rnacentral:SRP_RNA from 1 species
ACUAGACAUGGCAGCACAAGCCUAUAACCCCAGCUAUCAGAGAGUUUGAGGCUGUGGUGGGUCUCAAGCAUGGGGUUUGAACUGUAGUGGCCUAUGCUGAUAGGGUGUCUGCAUUAAUUUUGGCAUCAAUAUAGUGAGCUCACAGGAGUGAGGGUCCACUGGGUUGCUUAAGAAGGGGCAAACCAGUCCAAGGUCAAAAAUGAAGAAGGUCAAAGUUCCCAAGCUAAUCAGUAGUGGGGUCAGCCUGUGAAUAGUCCCUAUGCUUCCACAUUUCUAGCCUGAAUGAGAUGAAGACACUCAGUCUCUU